rnacentral:rRNA from 1 species
GAUGAACGCUGGCGGCGUGCCUAAUACAUGCAAGUCGAGCGAACAGACGAGGAGCUUGCUCCUCUGACGUUAGCGGCGGACGGGUGAGUAACACGUGGAUAACCUACCUAUAAGACUGGGAUAACUUCGGGAAACCGGAGCUAAUACCGGAUAAUAUAUUGAACCGCAUGGUUCAAUAGUGAAAGACGGUUUUGCUGUCACUUAUAGAUGGAUCCGCGCCGCAUUAGCUAGUUGGUAAGGUAACGGCUUACCAAGGCAACGAUGCGUAGCCGACCUGAGAGGGUGAUCGGCCACACUGGAACUGAGACACGGUCCAGACUCCUACGGGAGGCAGCAGUAGGGAAUCUUCCGCAAUGGGCGAAAGCCUGACGGAGCAACGCCGCGUGAGUGAUGAAGGUCUUCGAAUCGUAAAACUCUGUUAUUAGGGAAGAACAAAUGUGUAAGUAACUAUGCACGUCUUGACGGUACCUAAUCAGAAAGCCACGGCUAACUACGUG